rnacentral:rRNA from 1 species
UGAACGCUGGCGGCGUGCCUAAUACAUGCAAGUCGAGCGAACAGACGAGGAGCUUGCUCCUCUGGCGUUAGCGGCGGACGGGUGAGUAACACGUGGAUAACCUACCUAUAAGACUGGGAUAACCCCGGGAAACCGGAGCUAAUACCGGAUAAUAUAUUGAACCGCAUGGUUCAAUAGUGAAAGACGGGUUUGCUGUCACUUAUAGAUGGAUCCGCGCCGCAUUAGCUAGUUGGUAAGGUAACGGCUUACCAAGGCGACGAUGCGUAGCCGACCUGAGAGGGUGAUCGGCCACACUGGAACUGAGACACGGUCCAGACUCCUACGGGAGGCAGCAGUAGGGAAUCUUCCGCAAUGGGCGAAAGCCUGACGGAGCAACGCCGCGUGAGUGAUGAAGGUCUUCGGAUCGUAAAACUCUGUUAUUAGGGAAGAACAAAUGUGUAAGUAACUAUGCACGUCUUGACGGUACCUAAUCAGAAAGCCACGGCUAACUACGUG